CGUCGCUCUUCAUUUAAAAUAGGUCCGGCCUCCCCUCUCACCUGCCUCCCCACCACCACCCUGGUCCCCAUGCACUACAGGGUCCCGCCUCCGGGGACUGGAGGAGCUGGGGAGGGGGCUCGGCCCUGAAGACAAGGGACGGACCCACCUUUUCAAGGUAAAACCACUCACUUUGCGGAAAUGUCUUUUCAAAAGAGGCUGGCCACUGCCUCCUUCAGGCCUAGAGAAGAAUGCACCUCAGGACAGACCCUGCCACGCGCAGUGUUGGUGACCUCGCCUCCCUGCUCGCCCUACACCGUCCGGUGACAAGAGCCACGCCAAUAGCUGUGUCCUCAAUACUGUGAUUUGAAUUUUUUUUUAAAUCCUAAUAUAAAUGUUUUACUAACUACAAUCCGGUGUCUAACACAAACAUCUGGGUAUUUGGAAUCAGUGUUAAAGGACGGAUCCCCUUCCCAGCCUGGCCCGGGGCUUCCUGGGAACAGGAGCCGAAGCGUCAGGGCCCAGACAGACCCGCACGCACAAGCCCUGAGCACGCACAGCCGUGUCUGCCUGGGUCUCCCCUGCCGCUCGGCCCGCACAAGCAGGCACCGCGGCCGCCUCGCCCCGGGCAGGCCACCGGGCCGGGACUCCGCGGGGAGCCCGGGCUGUGGUUAGAACCAAAGAACUGUGCCCCUCUGUGUCCCGGUGGGACCUGGGCACCGGCUGGAGCCACAGGCCAGCACCUCCCACCCGUGUCCCCCGUCCCCCGUGGGGGUCUUGGCAGAGUCCCCCUGGGUGUGCACCUGUCUGCCCGGGGCCCCGGCAGGACGCGGAUUUCCGCAGACCCCGCAGCGGGCACCGAGUCCACCCACAGUGCCCGCUUUCUGGUCUGGGUGGGUCCGGGGCCGCAGGCAGCUGGGUGCUGGCACAGCCGAGGGCACGGGGCACCCUGCUGGCCGCGCCACCUGAUCGUGGGGCCAGGUAACUAGGAAGCGGCUAUAAAUAACUAAUUUUUCACAAUCUUGGGUCUUAUUCAUUUCCCGUUAGGAAAUGGAACUGGUCGUAUGUAUUGAUUUAUAGCCUGAACUUGUGGUAACUUACAUGUGUGGAAUGUCCUACUGUAAGACUGAUGAAUGUAAAGAGUUAAUUUCAGGGUACCAUUUUGCCUUAAUGGUUUUAAAAAAUAAACUAUUUUUAAA